CGUACCGAGUAAUGGGGGAUAACGCAUCGAAAGGUGUGCUAAUACCGCAUACGCCCUGAGGGGGAAAGCGGGGGAUCGAAAGACCUCGCGUUAUUCGAGCGGCCGAUGCCGGAUUAGCUAGUUGGUGGGGUAAAGGCUCACCAAGGCGACGAUCCGUAGCAGGUCUGAGAGGAUGAUCUGCCACACUGGGACUGAGACACGGCCCAGACUCCUACGGGAGGCAGCAGUGGGGAAUUUUGGACAAUGGGGGCAACCCUGAUCCAGCCAUGCCGCGUGUCUGAAGAAGGCCUUCGGGUUGU
rnacentral:rRNA from 1 species